rnacentral:rRNA from 1 species
CAGCCGCCGCGGUAAUACGGAGGGUGCAAGCGUUAAUCGGAAUUACUGGGCGUAAAGCGCACGCAGGCGGUCUGUCAAGUCAGAUGUGAAAUCCCCGAGCUUAACUUGGGAACUGCAUUUGAAACUGGCAAGCUAGAGUCUUGUAGAGGGGGGUAGAAUUCCAGGUGUAGCGGUGAAAUGCGUAGAGAUCUGGAGGAAUACCGGUGGCGAAGGCGGCCCCCUGGACGAAGACUGACGCUCAGGUACGAAAGCGUGGGGAGCAAACAGGAUUAGAUACCCGUGUAGUCCCUGUCUCUUAUAC